rnacentral:rRNA from 1 species
CAGUAGCCACGGGAAUACGUAGGUGGCAAGCGUUGUCCGGAAUUAUUGGGCGUAAAGGGCUCGCAGGCGGUUUCUUAAGUCUGAUGUGAAAGCCCCCGGCUCAACCGGGGAGGGUCAUUGGAAACUGGGAAACUUGAGUGCAGAAGAGGAGAGUGGAAUUCCACGCGUAGCGGUGAAAUGCGUAGAGAUGUGGAGGAACACCAGUGGCGAAGGCGACUCUCUGGUCUGUAACUGACGCUGAGGAGCGAAAGCGUGGGGAGCGAACAGGAUUAGAUACCCCCGUAGUCCCUGUCUCUUAUAC